UUCAUUACACAUGUGACCGGUGCACCCAC
rnacentral:sRNA from 1 species